UACAUCCCAUAAUGCAAUAUUAUAUUUUAAUUUUAUCCAAAUAUCCUAUAUGGGGUGGAUCCAAUCAGUUUUUGCUUUGUGCUCAUCAAACUCUAUCAACAUGUAAAUUCUUCAAAGUCCUAUUAAAUUUAUCAUCUCCUAAUACCUUCUUGUAUAGCUCAUGAUGAAGUUUCAUCUCAUUGUUCAAGUCAUAACGAACUAGCAUAUGAUCUGGUAUAGCAUUGAUAUUGAACAGAAAAAAUAAUUUCCAUCACCAUCCACAUCACAAACAGACUCUAUAUACUCUGGUAUAGCAUUUGGGACACUGAAGGUGUGUGACUUGUGUAAUUGAAAUAUUUUCUUUUCUGAUGAUUGAGUUGUGUUCAACCAUAGUCGAGAUGUCAUCUUCUAUGAUGCUUGGGCUACUUUCACUUUUUGAGGUUGAGAUAUUAUCUUAUGCGAUUUUUGUAAUGUUUUCUUUUGGGAAGGUGUGGUUGUUUUGAUCCGUGAAGAUUGAGAUAUUAGAUUCCUUCUCUUCACGGGUUGUUCGGAUGCUUCUCUCUACUUAUCAAUAUGCUCCCAUAAUGAAGGAUCGCAGUUAAGAAACUUUUCUUUUGUAGAAAAACCUUUUUUCAUAACUAUUUCCUUGGGAUGAAUCAUUGAGGUAGUUUCAUACCAUAAUAAUCGAUGUCUAAAUUCCUCAAUUAUUGGUUCUGGAUCAAACUUUUCUUCUUCUUCAUUGAUAGAUUUAUUUUCAUUAUCAAAUAAAGAUAAUCUCUACCAUUGAACAUGCACCCACUACAACAUUUUUGGCUUAUGGCAACACUUUCAAUUACAACGGUGAUAAAACUGUGGCUAUAGAGCACAUUAGGCAACGGUUUUUUAAAUUGUUCUCUUACACUUUUUUUUACGUUUUUAAGACAUAACAGUGAAAAACCAUUCCCCAAAAACUAUUCUCAUGGCAUCCCACCACAGUUUUAUUGGCGUGGCCUAAUAAUCUUUAAAAAAACAAUAGAAGAAACCAUUCUUGAAUAUCAAACAUCGCAAAUACAAUAUACCUCUCACUUUGAUUCAACCUCACUCUCACGGUCUCACCCUCUUCACUCUCACGGUCCCACCCUCCUCACUCUCACGGUCUCACCCUCCUCACUCUCACUCUCACCCUCAACCUCACUCUCAUUGAAAGUCUCACUUUGGUGUUCCUCUUCACUCUCUAAUCUAUCACAAUGAACCUGAUUUAGGAUUUGAUGUGAGACUAUGUUUGAUUUUUAGUUUGAUUUGUGGUUUUGUUCUAUUUGAUAUUUUGUUUGAUUUGAGGUUAUUUUUUAUUUAGGGUUCUAUUUGAUUUGGGGUUUUGUUUCUAUUUAAAAACAUUAACAUCAUUCAGAUUUCUCACUUCAAUAUUUUUGAUUCUAUUACCAGAUAGGUUUGCUAAAUUGGUUUGCCAAGCUUGCUCAGAUGAGGAACAAUGGUAGAGGUGGUGCAACUGUUGUUGGAGUUUUUAUUCUAAAACAUUAUCCAUCUUCAACGUCUCUGAUUCCUAUUUCAUUCUUUUUUGGAGCUUUCUAUUUUAAUUUAAGAUUUGAAGCUUGUUAGCAUUAUCCAUCAAUCUUAAUCAUUACAUGCAUGCUCUAUUUUGUUCAAAUUUUUCUUACCUAUUAUUUUUAGAUUUCCGAGGUAUAUGCAAUAGCAUAAUGAGGCAAUUGCGCAAUCUUUUCUAGAAUACCUGCAAGUUCAAUCUUUAGGACAAUAUAUUUUUACUUCCAUGAAGCCAUUCUACUAAUUAUAAAUUGCCUUUAAUUUUCUUAAAUGACCACUUCAAGUGGUUAUUGAUCCUUUAUAGUAUUUUUUAUUGGAAGUUCUUAUGUCUCCAUUGGACCUCUUUGAUUUAUGCAUUACAUCAUUUAAGCAUUAUGUUCCAGACAUUUCAAAGUUUGGUUGUUAUGAAUGUGUGGAAACCAGCUGCUUAAGUGUUUCAACCCCAAUAAGUUGUUGAAGUGUUUUAGUGUUUCAUUAUUUUUCUCUCUUCCUUAUUUCUCCCCCAUCCUAGCAGGGUUAAUAUAGUUGGUCAUGUAAAGCAUAAAACUUGUUAAUAGGAAUGGCAACGGGGCGGGUCGGGGUCGGGUUUGUACAUACCCAAACCCGAACCCGAAAUUCAAAACCCGAACCCGAACCCAAACUCAACGGGGUUGAAAAUAAAAAUACCAUCCCCGAACCCGAAAAUGAUAAAGUGUUAAGGAAAAUAUGAUAUUAUUUUCGUGUAAUUUUACUCUAACAUUUCUAUUUUCUCUUGUAUUAUUUCAUUUCUUUUAUGUUUGAAGAUCAAAUAGUAUAUAAAGUAACAUUAGAGAUUAAAAACAAUUGGCAAAUGAUAGAAAUUUCAAUUUUAAAUUGAAUUACCUUACUUCGGGGCGGGUUCGGGUUAGGGUCUUUGCUAUACCAAACCCGAACCCGAACCCGAAAUUUAAACUCGGGUAAAACCCGAACCCGAACCCAAUCACAUCGGGUUUUCCCCGUUAAAUUCGGGUUCGGUUCGGGCGGGUACCCACGGGUUCGGUUUUUAUUGCCAUCCCUACUUGUUAACAACUUUGAUAUUGUUUUAUCUUACUCUCUAUGGUAGUAGCAAGUUCAUAUUGGUAGAAACUAGAAAGAUUUGUCAUAUGUUGGUUCUGUUAUUGUUAUGGAAGUUACACCUCAAAGCAGAUGUUUCUGUUAUUCUCACCACCACUAUAUUAUGCUUUCUCUUUUUUACUAUAAAAUUAUGUUGAUGAUCUAAAAAGAGUUUUUAACUAAGAUUUUUAGAUAUGACAACUAAGAUUUUUACUAUAAAAUUAUGUUUCUGAUGUUAUCCCUUACCAUUUGAAUUCAAGAAGUUGUUAAUACCUUAGUUUGUAAUUAAUUUUAUAUAGGUGAUUCAUUGAGUACUUGAAGGGACUGCUUGAAUUUGAAUUCAAGAAGUUGUCAUAUGUUAGUUGGAUGUUUACUGUUUUCUGCUGCAAUUUCCUCUGGUUUUCUAUUUGUUGUUUUGCUUUUCUUCUGGCUGGCUAGUUACUCUAUUCUUUUCAAUCUGUAAACUUUAUGCUUGUUAAUGAAAUAUGUUGUUUUUAACACCUUAUAAAAAAUGCUUAGUGUUACUUUAAGAAACUAAAUUCUAAGUGGUUGAUAGUUCUAUGGCUUUUAAUAUGGCGAUAAAGUGCUUCUUAAUUCUAGAGUAGUGAAUAGUAAAUAAUCUCUUUAUAUUUCCUAAUUACCUUUUUUUCCUAACAGUACAUGCUUAAUCAACAAUCUUAAUCAUUGAAACUCAAUUUAGUCCUAAGCUUAUUCACACUUUUUGGAUGCAGUUUAACGAAAGGAAAGAUAUUCUAGAAUACUAGUUGUAUUGAGUGUUGUGUUCCUUUUAUAUUUCAUGUUCCUUGUUUAUGUGGUGGGAAUAAAGUUUGGUUAUUGUUGUUGUUCUCAUUGUUUAUGUGGUUAUUUUUUAUAAAACCUGUGUAUGAUUGAAUGAUGUGUGUUCAACAUGAGUGAGAUUCUUUUCUAUAUCCUCACAUUUGACAUUCUUCUAUACUUUUGCAGCACCAACUCAUAUAUGACUCUAAGAUGGAAGUAGUCAGAUAUAUAAGGUACUAUGGAAAGAGGAAAAUUUUCAGCUUUUCUGGCAAUGGAUUUGGACCGGACAACUUGGACCAUGACCUCUUCAUAGUUCAUGUGUUCUCUUACCAUAGCUAGAAGACCUGCUUCUGUCUUUUUUUAAAUGUUUAUCCUUCAAAAAAAUUACAUUGUUUAUGUUUCCUAUAUACACUUGGUAGUGUUGUCACUAGGAAAAUAGCUGGUAACAUACAUAAAUUAUACAAAUAUGCUGGUAUAAACGUAAUAAUUAUAAGUAGUGAUAGCAAUCAUCUGUUCCAAGUCCCCAUGACAAAUUAUUCCCUUAUAACCUACUCAUUUGUGUAAUAUGAUGACAUAAUUAUUCUUAAAUAGUUGAUUAAAUAAAUAUUACUUUUAGUAAUAAAAAAUGUAUUGUGAGA
rnacentral:lncRNA from 1 species